rnacentral:rRNA from 1 species
GAUGAACGCUGGCGGCGUGCCUAAUACAUGCAAGUCGAGCGAACAGAUGAGGAGCUUGCUCAUCUGACGUUAGCGGCGGACGGGUGAGUAACACGUGGAUAACCUACCUAUAAGACUGGGAUAACUUCGGGAAACCGGAGCUAAUACCGGAUAAUAUAUUGAACCGCAUGGUUCAAUAGUGAAAGACGGUUUUGCUGUCACUUAUAGAUGGAUCCGCGCCGCAUUAGCUAGUUGGUAAGGUAACGGCUUACCAAGGCAACGAUGCGUAGCCGACCUGAGAGGGUGAUCGGCCACACUGGAACUGAGACACGGUCCAGACCCCUACGGGAGGCAGCAGUAGGGAAUCUUCCGCAAUGGGCGAAAGCCUGACGGAGCAACGCCGCGUGAGUGAUGAAGGUCUUCGGAUCGUAAAACUCUGUUAUUAGGGAAGAACAAAUGUGUAAGUAACUAUGCACGUCUUGACGGUACCUAAUCAGAAAGCCACGGCUAACUACGUG